CGGUUCGAGUCCGCUAACCUCCACUGAUCAAACUCCUUUAACAAAAAAUCAAAGGAGAUUUCUUUGUUUCUGUGACUUUAGACUUUAGUUUCUCUGGAAGAACCUAGCUUCCUAUCAUUCUUCAUUCUCUAAGUAUCAAACUCUUAGUUUUUAGGUUGAUAAGGACGCUGGGCUCACUGCAAGUCUAAUGAAUUGCAGAGAUGUUCAGUA
rnacentral:misc_RNA from 1 species